CUCACUUUUAUUGUUUUGUCAGCCCGUGUUGAAUUAUACGGUCUUCUUUAAUGUUCUUGUAAAAUUACCUUAUUUUAUCUUCAUUAUUACAGUUAAGAUGAAGAUGUCAUCAAUUUCCAUCUCCGCCACGGAGACUGAGCGCAAGGUGAAGGGUCGACUCCUUUUAAAUAUUAUAGUCAGCAAGCGUCCUCCAUCCUUCAGCUGCUUCCCGGCAAAGAUCAACCGUUGAUGAUCCAGGAGGAUCCUUUCUUUAUCUUGAUUCUUGGCUUUCACAUUAUCAAUCGUAUUGGGAUUCAGAUUUAAUUGUUUGUUAUUGGAUUGGACUUCUGAGGUGGGAAGAAGGCAAAGAAUGUUGGCGCAUUAUGUCUUAGUUUUAAUGCUCAUGUAAACUUCUUUUAGUUUUGUAAUUUUAAGAACUAAUUAAUUAAUUUGCUAUGAUUUGUAGCUAUGAGCAGUUAAAGAACUAUUACUUUUUUACAUAUGAGAUGUAAUUUGAAUGUCAAUUUAUUGAAUGCAGCUUAUUUUAUUUUCUCAAAA